rnacentral:lncRNA from 1 species
UCUGUUCUUAGGCAUGGGACUUGACUUGCUAGCUUACGGCGCAUUUAUUGCUUGUGCAGGGCCUCCAUGCUAGUGACAAGACUUGACCUUUAUGCUUAUGACAAACGUUUCAUCAAUCAUUCGAAUAAGAUCUGUGCAGGCGAUCUCUUGGGAGAAGUGACCAUGGAGGAUGUUUCCCUGUGGUUCAGAGGCUCGCGCAUCAGUUUCGGG